rnacentral:rRNA from 1 species
UACGAAGGGGGCUAGCGUUGUUCGGAAUUACUGGGCGUAAAGCGCGCGCAGGCGGCUAUCCAAGUCAGUGGUGAAAGCCCUGGGCUCAACCCAGGAAGUGCACUCGAAACUGUCAGGCUUGAAUAUGGAAGAGGGUCGCGGAAUUCCCGGUGUAGAGGUGAAAUUCGUAGAUAUCGGGAGGAACACCAGUGGCGAAGGCGGCGACCUGGGCCAAUAUUGACGCUGAGGUGCGAAAGCGUGGGGAGCAAACAGG